rnacentral:rRNA from 1 species
UACGUAGGGUACGAGCGUUAUCCGGAAUUAUUGGGCGUAAAGAGCUCGUAGGCGGUUUGUCGCGUCUGUCGUGAAAGUCCGGGGCUUAACCCCGGAUCUGCGGUGGGUACGGGCAGACUAGAGUGCAGUAGGGGGAGACUGGAAUUCCUGGUGUAGCGGUGGAAUGCGCAGAUAUCAGGAGGAACACCGAUGGCGAAGGCAGGUCUCUGGGCUGUAACUGACGCUGAGGAGCGAAAGCAUGGGGAGCGAACAGG